AUAUUUAUUAAAAUCCUCCUCACUCGAAAUCCUGCAUUUGUCCUAAGCAAGAAAGAAACAGAGAUCUCCUCUAAGCAGGAAAGGAAAAGGUUCAUGCAAAACAGGUCAGACUUCUUCAUCAGCCUUCUCCUACUCUGCUAUCAAUGCAACAAAAUCAUUACUUGAAUGACGAAGAAGUGUCAAAAACCUCUUUGCAUGAGGGAAUAAACAAGGCUUUUCAUAAACACACACACACAGAUGCACACUUUUUUUAACUGAGCAGGAUUGAAUUAACAGCUCUGACUGAGCAUACCUGAGUACUGGCAGCCUUCACCACAUUUGUUCCAGUUUAAGGAAACACUUGCCCUUACAGACCCACUGCAGCUGUGCGAUCACGUUCACUGUGAUCAGGAACUGCUGUGAAAUCCCUUCUCUAGAGGUUUUCCAUUUCUGAAAAGUCCAGAGCUGAUGUCCCAUACAAACAUCCAAACCCUCCCACACCCUUCAAUUUCUGCAUUAUUUAUUACUAGUAGAGUUCUACUAGGUGUGAUUUUUCAGGUGUGUAACAUAAUUGACAUGCAUAAAAUCACCCACAGGUCACAGUAUCAAAAAUCAGAAAGGUGCCUGGAAAUGCUUGUCCAGCUGAUGCUUGUAUUUUCUAGGUGAGCCUCCAUCAUUCUGUAGCUACCCUCAGCUAGCUGGAAAUUGUAUCUAAGGCUCAUCACAUCAAAGAAAGGGACAGCAUUCAACGCAUACAGUAAUCUUUACAGAUGUGACCAUCCACCUUGAAAAUGCCACUGCAAAGUUUCAUUAGUAAUAGCAGCAUUAAAGUAUUUUGUGCUUUCUGAAUGAUGAGUUUUGCAAAUAAUCUUGUGAGAGAAUAUUGACAUUAGUGUACCACAGCUCUACAGACAUGUGAAAAACACAGGUAAAACACCUACACAAAGUUCUUGUUCAAUGCAACAACAGAGUUGUCACCAACAGGGGAGAAGGACGGAAGCUAUCAAGGAUAGCAGAAGAAUAAUGGAAGAUGGUAAACAUGUACUUGCAAUCUCUUGAUAGGAAGAACAAGCGAUGGAGUUAGAUAAGAAGAGGCGCCACGCUGGUUGUAUCUCUAAGCAACAGGCAAUCAAACAGCCAGAUAAGUAUCUUCAUAAAGUGCAACAGACUCAAAUGCAUGGGUCAUAACUGAAGAAUCACUUCCUGGUUCAGCUUAGGCAGUAAAAGUUUAUGACCUACUUGAAAAUCCUUCAAACCUAAAAAUGUAUUUUCCAAUAGAUUUGUUUUCCAUAAAGAAUGUAAGCCAUUUAGGGCAUGCCAUGGUAAUAGCAGGAAAUGAGAAUACUUACAGUAGUGGAUGAGAACACAAAAAAUGCAGUGUCGUACAUGAACUGUAUUUACAAUAAAACCUUCAGAUUCAGA